rnacentral:piRNA from 1 species
UGCCAAGCUACCGAUGCACUGCCAACAGA